CCUACGGAGGCAGCAGUAAGGAAUAUUGGACAAUGGGCGAAAGCCUGAUCCAGCCAUGCCGCGUGAAGGAUUAAGGUCCUCUGGAUUGUAAACUUCUUUUAUGUGGGACGAAAAAAGGGCAUUCUUGCUCACUUGACGGUACCAUUUGAAUAAGCACCGGCUAACUCCGUGCCAGCAGCCGCGGUAAUACGGAGGGUGCAAGCGUUAUCCGGAUUCACUGGGUUUAAAGGGUGCGUAGGCGGGUAGGUAAGUCAGUGGUGAAAUCUCGAAGCUUAACUUCGAAACUGCCAUUGAUACUAUCUAUCUUGAAUAUUGUGGAGGUUUGCGGAAUAUGUCAUGUAGCGGUGAAAUGCUUAGAUAUGACAUAGAACACCGAUUGCGAAGGCAGCAGGCUACACAUAUAUUGACGCUGAGGCACGAAAGCGUGGGGAUCAAACAGGAUUAGAUACCCUGGUAGUCCACGCCCUAAACGAUGAUUACUCGACAUACGCGAUACACUGUGUGUGUCUGAGCGAAAGCAUUAAGUAAAUCCACCUUGGGAAGUACGUUCCGCAAGGANGAAACUCAAAGGAAUUGACGG
rnacentral:rRNA from 1 species